AUGCGCGUUUAGCACUGGUGGCCGUAUUCUUGAUUCAUUUAGGAGUUCAUUGACUCCUAAAUGUGUGCAAGCUCUUAUUUGUGUUCAAGAUUGGCUUAGAGAAGAGAAGAAUCCUAUUAGUGUUGAAGAAGACUUGAAGUAUCUUGAGGAACUCGAGCUUGAUAUGGAAAAUAAUGGAAGCACUACUAGCAUUGUUUGAUGUAUAGUUGCAACUUGCAUCUUGAGUGGUUCAAGUGCAAUCAUGCCCCGUGCUACUGCUCAACGCUCCGAUAUUUGGGAAUACUUUGUGGUGAAAGAAGAUAACGGAGAAGUUCGCAAAGUAGAGUGCAAACAUUGUGGUCAAGUAUAUAAUGUUAAUCCAAAGAGGAAUGGAACAAUUGAUUUAAGGAAGCAUAUU